AGCAUUUCCCCUUCCUGUUUGUCUGAGGUUCUUCUCACUCAGAAAACAAGGAAGCCACUCUGAUGGGCUGGACUGUGUCCCCCAAAGCUUCAUGUGUUGAAGCCCUAACCCCUAGCUCCUCAGAAUGUGACUGUAUUUGCAGACCGAAUUGUGAGGAUGAUGGCAAUUCAUGGAGGAUGGCUGGGAAGUUAAUCAGCAGGGAGGAAUGAGGAAGAAAGCAGGGAGAACGUCCACGCCUUCCCAUAGCAAGGCUGAAAAUGAAGCUGCCAGAAAACAAGUAAGGAAAUAAAAAGACAAGUAAAGAGACCUAAGGAGUGGAGAAUACGGUUGUUAAAAGGAGUGGAGUGAGAAGGCCGUGGUUUGAAGACCUGAUAUGACUGGCAUGCAGAACGCUCCCGCUCCCCACAAGGCUGGCUGGCAUGUCUAUUGUCCACCGUGUGCUUUCGGGGGACUUGGAAUAUUUAGCUGGUUUGCCACCACUGCCCAGAGCCCCUGCCACUGAUAUGUGCGCAAGAAAACAAGAAGUAUAACAUUAGAUUUGGCAAAGCAUGAAAAGGAGGCAGAGCUGCUGCAGGAAGAAAAUUCAUCUAACACUUUAUAAAGUAAAACAAAUAAAUGUGAGUGUUCUGUUUCACAUCUCUGAUCGCUUCAUUCAUACGGAAAAUUCAAAAUUAUCUGCAAUGGACAUAUAUUCAGGGUGCCCAGUCUAGGCCAUUUCUUUAUCUA
rnacentral:lncRNA from 1 species